GUAACGGGGUGUUAGGGCACGACACCGGAGAGGGAGCCUGAGAAACGGCUACCACAUCCAAGGAUGGCAGCAGGCGCGCAAAUUACCCCAAUCCCGACACGGGGAGGUAGUGACAAUAAAUAACAAUACGGGGUUCUAUAGGAUUUCGUAAUUGGAAUGAGUACAAUUUAAAUCUCUUAACGAUCAACAAUUGGAGGGCAAGUCUGGUGCCAGCAGCCGCGGUAAUUCCAGCUCCAAUAGCGUAUAUUAAAGUUGUUGCAGUUAAAAAGCUCGUAGUUGAAUUUCGGGGUUAGUAGGUUGGUCAUGCCUCUGGUAUGUACUGAUCUCACUGAUUCCUCCCUCUUGACGAACUGUAAUGUCAUUAAUUUGGUGUCGCAGGGAAUCAGGACUGUUACUUUGAAAAAAUUAGAGUGUUUAAAGCAGGCUUUAGCUUGAAUACAUUAGCAUGGAAUAAUGAAAUAGGACGUUUGAUCCUAUUUUGUUGGUUUCUAGGAUUGACGUAAUGAUUAAUAGGGAUAGUUGGGGGCAUUAGUAUUCAAUUGUCAGAGGUGAAAUUCUUGGAUUUAUUGAAGACUAACUACUGCGAAAGCAUUUGCCAAGGAUGUUUUCAUUAAUCAAGAACGAAAGUUAGGGGAUCGAAGACGAUCAGAUACC
rnacentral:rRNA from 1 species